rnacentral:lncRNA from 1 species
UUCCGUAUGAAAUUAAUCCUGUGCUUUCAGUGUGGCUUGUUUAUGUUUUCUGGAGAAGUACAAGAGUGCUCUGGAACAGCAAGAGCAUGCCAUAGGAAGAAGGAAAACCUGACAGAGGUUUUUGUUCUGUCUCAGUGCCUGGAUUCAAAUCCCCCACUUUCCUGAUUCUUUCUGCACUAUUCAGAGAUGAGCAGACUUUGAUUCCUGCAAGGACAUUCCCAGCAGGCUACAGCGCUCUGGAGGAAGAAGAGAGGGGUGUCCCACACCCACAGCCCUUCUCCAGAUGUAUUUCCACAGUGAUCCAGUGGAGCCACAUCUCCUUUCUCAGCGCUGCCAGUGUAAUGCUUUCUGCCGGCUUCAGCAGGCUCUGGGACAGAUUCUUAGUGCAUGUGAGCAGCAGCCCAGUAGGAAAAAAAAAAAAAAAAAAGAACUGUAUUGUGCCAGGGAUCUAUUUGAAGUUGAAUUAUGCAGCAUGUAAAACUGAUGGAAAUCAAAACACAGAAGUGUCGCCCUGUGGUGAUGUCCUGCAGAAUUCCAGCCAGAGACAAGACCAUGAGUAGAUUCUGUUUCAACAAGAGCAUUCAAGAAUAUUUUCUGCCACUGAAAUAGCCUGUAGUCUUCUGUGAUGACGAAUUUCUGCUGUACCAUGAAAGCACUGUGGAAGAGAGCCCUGCCAUCUAUGUAAAUACACUUAAAGAGCAGAAGAUCUUCUGCACUCUCUUUGUAGAUGUGAACGUGCUGUGUGUGCAAGGCAGAAGGUUGUGACAUGUCAUAAACUUCUCUAAUUUCUGCGGUCUUUUUACAGUCAUGAAUAGCAGUCAAUCUCUCUAAGCAACCCAUUCUGGAUUCUGGUUUAAAACCACUACAUAUUUGAAGUUAGAAACAAGAGAUAUUUUAGUAUUCUACCUCUUUCAACAUGUACUUUCUGUCUUGAUUUAAGUCCAAGAACUUAGUAAUAUGGUAGGCAGAAACUCACCUGUCAGAGAAGUUUACUUUUUUGGACAAAUGUCAUGCUAGAAAUCAUGGGAUGAUUUCAGAUAUUUUCAUCAUUAAAAGAAAUGUUGGAGUAAACCAUGGACAUGUGGACAUGAACUGAUGUGAAGUGAAUAGAUUGCAGACAAAAUUCUUCUCUCAUCUGGAGUAGAUUCAUUUGCUUCAGUGAAACAAUUCUGGAUUUCCAGUGAUGUAAUUUGGAACAGCAUCUGGCUUCAGAUACAUAAGAAGAUCUCCUUGUAAUGGUUUAUAUCACUGACUACUUACUGCAUGAUUUUGCUAUGCUUUUCGUAGUUCUUAUUAGCUACACAUAAUCGUUAGUCUUAAAUCUUUCUCGUGUUUCAUACAAGGCCAAUAAAAGCCUUGCAGAACGAGGAAAAUGUACAUUUCCUUCAGAUCACCACUGUGUAGCAUCUUUCAAAACUUAGUUAAAAUCACAGUCAACAAUUAUCUUCUCUUUUUAGUUUGGAUAUUACUUUAUGGAAUACAGGUGAAGGAAAAGCCUCUCAGUUCUGUCUGUUCUUCACAUAAAGCAAGUCGGUGCAACAAGUCAGAGACAUUUACUUGGCGAACAGCCUUCAAUUAGUGGGAUUUUUCCCAUAAGGACUCUUCCUCUAUUUGAGUAAAUGUAUGUUGUGUUGACAGACAUCCAUUCUAGUCACCUUCGCAUAGUUUCAUUAUUAUUUUCUUUUAAACAAAUAAAUACAGUGCAGGACCUGCCUUCUCUCAAACCUGUGGCCAAAUUCUGCUUCCAAACAUGACACCCAUUCAUCAUCAUACAGAAUGUAAAGGAGAGGUGGACUGAAAGUUACUCUUCCUCUGUCACUGUGUGGAUGUUUUAGUACAUCAUUCUUUUCACUACAAGGCUUUCAAAGUCACACUCUGAACAUGAGAACUGCAGGCAAUCUUCACUGCCUUCAGAAUCUGUUUUAAAUGUUUUAAACUUUUUAAUGCAAGAAGGCUUAAUAAAACUACAAGACAAUAGUGAAUACAUAUGUAAAUACGCUAAAUACGAUGAAGAAAUCAGCAUUUGCUAUUAUCCCACACAUUCUACAGUUGCAUUCUGUUGUAUAUUACAAAGCUGUAGCAUCUGAUUUCUUAAUGGUUAAGGCUGUACUUUGCAAAUAUGUUCAGAAAUAUCCACGCAGAUGUUUCUGUUUAAUCUUAUUACACUUGCUUUUCCAGCUUGGAAAUUUAAUUCCAGGAUCAUAAUUAAUAAUACAUAAUUAAUAAUUUCAUUUAGUCCGAGUGAUUACAAGGACUGUUGUGGUAGCCAAAAGCAAUAUUUGUGUCAUUUGCCUUUCAUUGAACUUCUAAGGUAGUGACACUUGUUUUAAUAAAAGAUAAAUAUUACAGUUGAGUCUGUUUAUUUUUUCCAUUACAUCUGGAUUCUCUUUCUGGCUUUCCUUUAGGUAAAUUUUUUACAAAUCUUUUCUCAAAGAAAAUAUUAAUGAUAUACCAUUAUCUUUUUCUAAAAGGCAG